GAGUUGCAGCGGUGAAAUCUCAGCCCAUUUUGACCUGGAUGACCACAGGGUUGCUGGGUGCGCGCAGCUGUGUCCAUUCCUGGGGUAGGUGAGGGAGUGACCAUUUCCGUGCCAAAAUCUGCUGCUCCUGACAGUGACCUCCCUGGAGCAAACAGCAGUGGAGUCAGUCGAUCAACCCUUGGAGCUGCUCUCAUGGAGGUUUAUGUAGCAUGCUUGGCCCAUUUACCUUGCAGUACCUUAUACUGGCUCAAAAACCGGACCUUAUACUGGCACAAAACCUGUACCUUGUGCUGGCACACAUGCACGCCGGCCAAACAGAGAAAAGAAAUAAAGAUAACGAGGAUUUAA